rnacentral:lncRNA from 1 species
GAAGGGCCUUGAGUCUACACUGCCAUAUAAUCCAGUGCAAAUUAGAUCAUCUGUGGAAGAAGUCUAAGUGAGGCCUAAAUCUGCCUGUCCCCUAACUGAAACCUGGCUGUCCCUUGAUUGCUAGGCAACCAAGUGGGCAGAGAUUAGCCCUCUAAACUGGCAGCAAUUGGAUAAAAACAAUUAUUCCUCUCCCUCUAAUUAGGACUUUAUUUUUCUUUUCUUUUUGUUGUAUCAACCUAGAGGCAUGGAUGAGGGGUUGUGCUGCCAAGUUUAGUGUUUCUGGGAUGUGUAGUUUUGUUGUUUUGUCAUAGGCCGAAAUUUCAUUACUCUUUUAUAUAUAUAGAUAGAUAUAUACGGAUAUAGAUAUAGAAUAGAUAUAGAUAAUAGAUAUAGAUUUCUCUUCAGCCUUCUUGACUGGACACUUACCCCUCACUAUAGUCAAACUAACUGAUACGUAGUCUCAACAGACUCCUUCUUCCUCCCAGUUUUACCUAACUGAGAACCAGACUUGAAUUAGUCUCUUAUUUCUCUCUCCAAUAUAACAUUGGAAACUACACACUUAAACACAUAACAUCUUCCCUCUAGUUCACCAAACUAGAGAUUCAAACACAGACAUCGUCUUUCUAGUUUCCUAGCUAGCAACUCAUUACAAAAGUCUUCCUGUUAGCUCCCUAGCUAGAACCUGAACAUAACUGAACUACAGACGUCUUCCUUCUAGCUCACUGGCUAGAAACUGCACAUAACUGAACUAACUUUAAAACAUUCCCUCCUUUUUCUUCCAGCUAGCUCCACCCCUUUCCCCUAGUCUCUCAGAAUAGUUACAUUUCUCCAGCAUUAGCUAUGUUACCAUGGCGACGCACAGCCAAUCAGAAAUAGCUAACUCCUGCCUACCUUUAGCAUUAAACCAACAUUAAAUAACAUAGACAAAAAUCCCAAUUAAAAUAAGGCUUUCUGUUACACCCCUCUAUUCUGCUUGGUCAGACCAGACCUGGAAUACUGUGUCCAAUUCUGGGCACUGCAGUUGAAAGGAGAUGUUGACAAGCUGGAAAGAA